rnacentral:lncRNA from 1 species
GGCUGGAUGAGUAGCCUUAGAAAAAAACUGAGGCCUGGCAUCUCAGAUCAUCAGAGACAAGGCUAGAAAUGGGACCUUGGUCUGUUCCAGCCCAGAGCUCCUGGUAUUACCAGUGUGCUACCCUGUGUGAAGCAUAUAACUUUUUGUUGAAGCUUCAAAAAAUAUGGACUGGGAAUGAGGCUACCAAGAACAAAGUAAAAGGAUUUAUAUGUACGGAAAUAUCAUAAUGAAACCCAUUUUUGUGUGCACAGAAAGUUUAAAAAGCAUUACAUGACUAAUAUGAUUGGAAUUCUGUAGUAUUCAGCAGACAUUGUUAGAACUGUACUGUAGCAUAAGUCUUGCUUUUCUGCAACAAACCUCUGGAAGACCAGGAAGCACCAGCCAGGGAGAGGAAAUUGUUGCCUGGACCCAUCAAAGAGGAUGCCACCAAAAUGAUCCUUCAGGAGGGAAAGGAUCCAUGGGCAGAACAGGCAGUCAGGAAUGGCUGAGACCUCACACCUUAAUCCACAAGAAGGAGGAGCUGGAGGAUGCAGUUCUCUGAGAGCAGUUGAGCCUGAGCAUAAAAGCCCAUCAAUAAGGAGC